GACGAACGCUGGCGGCGUGCCUAAUACAUGCAAGUAGAACGCACAGUUUAUACCGUAGCUUGCUCCACCAUAGACUGUGAGUUGCGAACGGGUGAGUAACGCGUAGGUAACCUGCCUGGUAGCGGGGGAUAACUAUUGGAAACGAUAGCUAAUACCGCAUAAUAUUAAUUAUUGCAUGAUAAUUAAUUGAAAGGUGCAAUUGCACCACUACCAGAUGGACCUGCGUUGUAUUAGCUAGUAGGUGAGGUAACGGCUCACCUAGGCGACGAUACAUAGCCGACCUGAGAGGGUGAUCGGCCACACUGGGACUGAGACACGGCCCAGACUCCUACGGGAGGCAGCAGUAGGGAAUCUUCGGCAAUGGACGAAAGUCUGACCGAGAAACGCCGCGUGAGUGAAGAAGGUUUUCGGAUCGUAAAGCUCUGUUGUAAGAGAAGAACGGGUGUGAGAGUGGAAAGUUCACACUGUGACGGUAUCUUACCAGAAAGGGACGGCUAACUACGUG
rnacentral:rRNA from 1 species